rnacentral:rRNA from 1 species
UGGUGCCAGCAGCCGCGGUAAUUCCAGCUCCAAUAGCGUAUAUUAAAGUUGUUGCAGUUAAAAAGCUCGUAGUUGGAUUUCUGUUAAUAAUUUAUAUAAAAUAUUUUGAUGAAUAUUUAUAUAAUAUUAACAUAAUUCAUAUUACUAUAUAUUUUAGUAUAUGAAAUUUUACUUUGAGAAAAUUAGAGUGCUUAAAGCAGGCAUAUGCCUUGAAUACUCCAGCAUGGAAUAAUAUUAAAGAUUUUUAUCUUUCUUAUUGGUUCUAAGAUAAGAAUAAUGAUUAAUAGGGACAGUUGGGGGCAUUUGUAUUUAACAGUCAGAGGUGAAAUUCUUAGAUUUGUUAAAGACAAACUAAUGCGAAAGCAUUUGCCAAGGAUGUUUUCAUUAAUCAAGAACGAAAGUUAGGGGAUCGAAGACGAUCAGAUACCGUCGUAGUCUUAACCAUAAACUAUGCCAACUAGAGAUUGGAGGUUGUUCCUUACUC